AUCCUAUCAGGCCGGCGGCGAUCUCGUCACGGAAGUCAGCCCUAUCCAUGGCCCCAAUCACCGAAAACUGCCUACCCUACUACUACAAUCGGCCACGGUCGACCGGCAGUGCUUUCCGCCCUCCCGGCCACGACCGCCUCCAUGGACGACGACGCGGUGCGCGAAGCGGCCGGAUCGCCGGAGAGGGAAGGCCGCAACACUAGUUCGCUUCACAAGGUGUAGUGUGAAUGUGUGAUGGCACACCAGGAUGCACAAGUAGGUUGGCUGCAAUAUGUGCUUGCGCUGAAUAGUCAAGGGCUGCACCUGCACGACAUGAACCCUGCCACUCCAGUCUCCUGUGCUGUUGAGCUGUUCCAUCUGUAAAUGUUUCCGUUUGCAAGCAUUAUGGCUGUUUUCUAAAAUCUUCUUUUUGGAGCCGGUAAGCAACUUGCUGAAAAUAUGGGCGCCUUGUUUAUUGCCUAUGUUUUUUCUUAAUGAAGGAAUGAUUGGCGAUUGCCUAUGAUUUUGGACUAAGGGGAGAGUGCUAUAUAGUGCAGUGGGGUGGAUUAGCUAUCUUGUAAUUUGAUUUCUUAACAUAAAUUUUGAAUAAGAUGUGUAUCAACUUGACAAGUCAAAUCACAUAUUAUAAUCACUCACCAACUCCAUUCUACUAAAUCAUGUAGUUCAAUAUUAUUUUUCAAGGUAAAUAAAAAAUAACUGUCCUUUUGUUCAAAUCUGCACAUAUAAUUUCUUCUAAUGAGUUUGUGUCUUGAAUCUUAAAUGAAGAUACUUGUUCAUUGAAUAUCUUUGACGAAGAAAAUUUCUAGUUCACUCUGCCAAAUUCUAGACCACAUCAUGUUGGAUCCCAGUAGAUAAAAAAGGGCGUACCCAGUGCUGUAGGCUUCCAGCAGAUAAUUGGUUUAAUUUAAGUUUUAGCAGCAUACAAGAAAGACAGUAAUAUUAGAUGUGCAGCUUAGAUAUGGAGAUAGUAGUAGUGCUUAAUUCUGACCCUAAAGUAUCUAGUUGAUGCUGACAAGUUAUAGUCUUAUAGAUAACAACAUUGCAGUUUAGAAGUUUCAGCCAAUUCUGCUUUCCGUUUUCUUUCCAGUAACUAACUAACCAACUAUCAUGUCCCUAUCUUUUGAUUUGUCUUUUAUCCCUCAUGUAAUUUUCGUUGGCUUUCCAGUAAUUGUCAUGUCCCUGUCCUUUGCUUGUCUUUUGUUUCCUUUCCUGUGCUUGUCAUGUCUUUUGAAGUUCUUGCUUUUGGUCAAUGUUUGGUGCUGGGAGUUGGCAAGGUAUUGUGCAGAAGGAAGACAAAACACGUAAUAACACAGCUAAUAGGAAUACUCAGACACUUGGUCUAGGACUAGGAUGGGCUUUAGAAGUUUGUAAUUAUUCAAGCAGUGACAGAAUCAUAGCUAAGUCUGCUGCUGAAACUGAAAGUGAUGCUUUGUCCUUGGUGCAGUCAAGUUGCUCCACUUGUUGAGGUGCUUUGUCCUUGCAGAAGUUGCUCCACUUGUUGAGAUGCUUCGUCCUUGGUUCAAGACAACUGGUGAUUUUAGACAACGGUUGCAAUAAUUUAAGUCUGUUAUUGUGAAUGCUUGUCCUUGAACAGUUAAACUGUGUGAUUCUGUUAGUUUUGGUCCUUCCAUUUGCUGAUGCUUAUUGAUAUAUAAACUAUAAGUUUAUUAGCAUCUUGCUCAUUGAAAGUAAAUUUCUAUGGUGGCUGUUGUAUUCUUGUCACAGCUUUCCUUUCCUGCACUUACCUUUUUACUGUUAUAAUAGCCUGUUACCUUAAUUAGUUAGCACAUGCUUAGCUUUAUCAUGUAUGGAAAAAUACAGAUAGGGCGAACUUUAGUAUUGAAGAAAGCUAUGGUCUCACAAAGGACCAAGAAAUUAAGUUGAGCUGUCAUGUCAAGGAGAUAGCAUUUUGAUGUAUAUACUUUCAAAUGGACAAUACUUGGGGUUACAACAACAACAACAACAUAGCCUUUUGGGGUUACAAAAAGUAUAAAUUAUUAUUGUAAAAAUGAAUGAAACCAAAGAAUUAAAAGAAGAAAGAUUGUGAGCAGUUGAUGUGAGCAAACAAUUGACAUGUGCAUACAACAGAGAUGCAUUGGACCAACACAGUUAAAUAGCCCUCCAGACAACACUUGUCAGUUAAUAAUAUCUUUUUCUUCUCAAACGUACAUGUGAUAAAUAUUGAUAUUCACCGUAUACAUGUUUGGUUCCAUUCAAAAGCUGGACCUCAAGUCGUAUUAGAUGUUAAUGUUGAUUGUUACACUUUUCGCUGCAGUUGACCUUGACCUAUUCCAAGUUUCCUACUGGCUACUGGUUAUCGACCAGUAUAGCGUUAACUUCAAUGCUAUCCUAUUUAUGAGGUCCUUGUGUAGGUGAAGCUAUCUUUCUCGCUUACCAGUAAGCAUUGUACCUCAGGAACUGUAUCCUCUCAAUGGGUGAGGUUGUACUCUCUGCCUUUCUGCAAGUCCUUUUUCAGGUCAUAGCAGAUUUGAUCAGGAAGGAGCUGCAGUCCCACAGUGGUCUUCAGAACGAGCAGACAAGUCUAAUUUCUGAUGUUGAAAUGAUUCAAGCUGUUAUUAGAGGAGCUGAGAAGAUGCAGCUUUCUGAGCUACAGAAAUUGUGGUUCAUUGAGCUGAAAGAUGUCAGCUAUGAGGCAACGGAUGUGCUGGAUGAAUACACCUAUGAAAUUCAACGCCAUCAGGGGAUCCAUCUUGCCCCUGUGCGCAACAGUUCAUUUUUGUCUCAAUUAAGCAUCAGGCGUCAAAUAUUUAUGCAUGAUAUGGAAGAGAAGAUCAAGGAUAUAGCUAACAGAAUUGCUUAUAAAAGAAAACCGUUUGACCUUCCAAAUAGAUGUUGGCCAUACAGCGCAGCAUCAGGAAACCAGAAGCCUCCAACAGAGCAGCUAUUUUCCGCCCCCUUAUGUUUAUGGUAGACAUAAUGAUCAGGAGAAGAUUGUAAAGAUGCUUCUUCAAUCUGAUCGGAAGCCCAGUGUUAGAGUCUUGCCAAUACUCGGGGAGGCUUGUAUGGGGAAGACGACAGUUACUCAACUAGUCUUCAAUCAUGAGCGUGUAAAAGUGUACUUUGAACUGAAGCUGUGGGUUCAUGUGUCGCAUGAAUUCAAUAUAGAAAGGAUCACUGCAUCUAUCAUAGAAUCCAUAGAAGGCAGUCCAUUUCAUUCUGGCAACCUGAACACCCUCCAGACGCGUCUAGAAAAGCUGUUACAAGGAACAAGGUACCUUCUUGUCCUAGAUGACUAUUGGAGAGAGAGCUGGCAUGACUGGGACAAGCUCAAACUGCCAUUGCUCAAGGGAGCAGGAGGAAGCAAAAUCAUAGUGACCACACGGAGUGCGGAAGUUGCUAGAGUUCUUGGUACAUCAGCUCCAUAUCAGUUGCAGGGUCUGCAAGAUGAAGAUUGCUGGUUGUUGUUCUGCCACUUUUCCCUAGGCGCAAACAUCCAUACAUAUAAUUUUCAAGAUCUUCCAAGAUUGAAGGAACAAGUUCUACGGAAGUGCAAUGGUGUACCUUUCGUAGCUGUCGGUUUAGGCCAUAGAGUGCGCCAAGAGAAUGACAGAAGCAAGUGGACAUCUACUCUGCAUGGGGAGAAUUGGGAUUCUACCGGUCAUUUGAUUGGAGCCCUUCGACUGAGCUAUGCAGAGCUAGAUUCCCAUCUCAAGCCUUGUUUUGCAUACAGCUCCAUUGUUCCACAAAACUUCCAGUUUGAGGAGGAAUGGCUUAUCCAGCAUUGGAUGGCUCAGGGCUUCAUUCAACCUAAUCCUAGGUCCAGUGAAACAAUUGAGGACACAGGAAGAUCUUACUUCAGAUCUUUAGUUAGCCGAUCCUUUUUCCAGAGGGCACGUGUUGAUCGCACUGGGGAAAGACACAGUUACAGCUUAUCUGAAAUGAUGCAAGAUCUUGCUUUACAUGUCUCAUGUGAAGACUGUAAAUGUUGUGCAGUUGAAGGAUCUUACAACAUACCUGAGAAGGUCCGAUAUUUAACGGUAGUCUUCAACAUGCCUACCAGUCGGGAUAUGUUUAAGAUGAUUUCUGGAGGCGAGCGCUUGCACACACUUAUAGUUGUGGGUCACUCUGAACAUUUCACGCAAAAGGUUCCUAAUGAUAUUGGAAGGAGAUUUAUAAGGCUACGUGCAUUAGAUUUGAGCAACUUUUGCGUAGUUGAGCUGCCUGAAUCGAUUGGAGAAUUGAAACAUCUUAGAUGUCUCCAAUUGCGAAGCACCAAGAUCAGAUGGCUGCCCAAAUCAAUUUGUGAUCUCUACAAUCUCCAAACGCUGGGCCUUACAAAUUGCUAUGACCUUGAAGAGUUGCCACGUAAAAUAAAGAAUCUUCGCAUGCUAAGGCAUAUCGAUCUGUUAAUGUCUCGUAAUUCCUACUGCAAUGUCUGCCGGUUGAGGUGCAUGCCUAAGGAUAUAGGUUUGUUGACUGAUCUUCGGACACUGUCACGAUUCGUCGUAAGCCAUAGAAGCACUCUUAGUGUCGGCACUCACAGAGGUGGUAUUGCAGAGUUGGCUAACUUGAACAAUCUCCAUGGGGAACUUCUCAUUUCAAAUCUGCACCAUGUUGAAGGUGUGCAAGAUGCUGCCCUGGCAAAUUUGGCUUCCAAGCAGUUCCUUCAAAAGCUGGAGCUGUCAUGGGGAAACAAUAACAAAAAAGCUGACGAAAUUCUAGAGAACCUAAAGCCACCCACCAAGAUUAAGGAGCUUACCAUUUCAGGUUACACCGGCAUGGCAUGCCCUAGCUGGCUUGGUUCUGCAGAGUACACAAAUCUCCUCACUGUGUGCCUCUAUGAUUUUCAGAGUUGCAGUGUUCUCCCUUCCCUUGGCAUGCUGCCUCUUUUAGAAAACCUCUACCUGAAAGGUUGGCAAAGCUUGGUUUCCAUAGAUUGCAGCAGAUUUUGCGGUAGAAGAAGUAUGGCUAGUUUCCAAUCUCUGAAGAAGCUACAUUUGGAGAGGAUGGAGAUGUUAGAGAUCUGGGAUGGGGAAGAGAGAUGUGCUUUCCCUAGUCUUCUCGAGCUUGUUAUCGAGAAUUGCUGCAAGCUGGAACAAGUCACUCACAAUCUCCCUUCACUGGCAAAGCUAACAGUGGAAGGGUCACCAGGUUUCCAAGGCCUUUGGAGCUUCCCAUCUCUGAAGUACUCGAAUGUAAAUGCAAGUGGUGAGUGGAUUUUGAGAUCAUGGCCUUCCCUUUCUUCUCCUAUAUCUAUCACCCUUUGCAAAUUGCCGACAAUAUGCCUGCCCUCAGGGCUUGGACUGUUCCAUACAUCUUUACAACGCCUUGAGAUCAGUCACUGUGAGCAACUGCAGUACAUACCUGGGGAUUGGCCACCAUGCAAUCUGACUCACUUCUCUGUAAGGUAUUGCCCCCAACUUCGUGAACUGCCAUUGGGCAUAGAACGCAUGCAAGCAUUGGAAGACAUGGAGAUUGUUGCUUGUGAGCAGAUUACUUACCUCCCGGAGAUGAUUGGUCUUUGUUCGUUAAUAAGGCUAGAGAUUUCAGACUGUGGUUCAGUUCAGUCCCUGCCAAAUAGAGGCUUGCCUAGCUCAGUGCAGGUCGUGAGCAUUAACAACUGCCCUCUGCUUGCACGGUCUUGUAGGAAUCAGGGGAUUGCAGAUCGUGGCAGCAUCUUAUUAUGGAUUGAUGGCCACAGAGUGUCCGCAUUUGCUGACUAGUGAACUAGCAUCACUUUGUUGCCCUGCCAAAGCUCCAGAGAGAUUAAAAGGUUUCUCUGUUGUGCGUCAGUUUCAAAGAAGACUCUUGUGAUCACGCAGAACCCCUUGUUCUCCAUUGCAUUGUUGUGAUCAGGCUUUGGAUGGAUGUUUUCGUGGUGAUCUAAGUUUCAGUUUGUAGGGCUCCAACAUUAUAGGCGGAGCUUCAUUAGGGCCAAAGGGGCCAUAGCCCCUCUGGAUUUGCAAAUUUUACACUAGAUGAACAGUGAUUUUGACACUGUUCAUUGCUGAAGCAGAAGGGUGCCCCCCCUCAUUCUUCGAUCAA